rnacentral:SRP_RNA from 1 species
GCUGGGCACAGUGGCAUGUGCCUGUACUCUCAGCUACUUGGGAGGCUGAGGUGGGAGGAUCGCUUGAGCCCAGGAGUUCUGGGCUGUAGUGUGCUCUGUCAGUUGGGUGUGCGCACUAAGUUUUGCAUCAAUAUAGUGACCUGCUGGGAGCAAGGGACCACCAGGUUGCUUAAGGAGGGGCGAACCGGCCCAAGUCAGAAAUGGAGCAGGUCGAAAAAAAAAAAAGAAAAGAAAAGAAAAGAGGCCGGGCGCGGUGGCUCAUGCCUGUAAUCCCAGCACUUUGGGAGGUCGAGGCGGGUGGAUCAUAAGGUCAAGAGAUCAAGACCAUCCUGGUCAACAUGGUGAAACCCCGUCUCUA